rnacentral:rRNA from 1 species
GGGUUGUGAGGUUAAGCGACUAAGCGUACACGGUGGAUGCCCUGGCAGUCAGAGGCGAUGAAGGGCGUGCUAAUCUGCGAUAAGCGCCGGUAAGGUGAUAUGAACCGUUAUAACCGGCGAUACCCGAAUGGGGAAACCCAGUGUGAUUCGUCACACUAUCAUUAACUGAAUCCAUAGGUUAAUGAGGCGAACCGGGGGAACUGAAACAUCUAAGUACCCCGAGGAAAAGAAAUCAACCGAGAUUCCCCCAGUAGCGGCGAGCGAACGGGGAGGAGCCCAGAGCCUGAAUCAGCAUGUGUGUUAGUGGAAGCGUCUGGAAAGGCGCGCGAUACAGGGUGACAGCCCCGUACACAAAAGCGCAUGUGCUGUGAGCUCGAUGAGUAGUGCGGGACGCGUGGUAUCCUGUCUGAAUAUGGGGGGACCAUCCUCCAAGGCUAACUGCUCCUGACUGACCGAUAGUGCACCAGUACCGUGAGGGAAAGGCGAAAAGAACCCCGGCGAGGGGAGUGAAAAAGAACCUGAAACCGUGUACGUACAAGCAGUGGGAGCACCCUUUUGGGUGUGACUGCGUACCUUUUGUAUAAUGGGUCAGCGACUUAUAUUCUGUAGCAAGGUUAACCGAAUAGGGGAGCCGGAGGGAAACCGAGUCUUAAUUGGGCGUUAAGUUGCAGGGUAUAGACCCGAAACCCGGUGAUCUAGCCAUGGGCAGGUUGAAGGUUGGGUAACACUAACUGGAGGACCGAACCGACUAAUGUUGAAAAAUUAGCGGAUGACCUGUGGCUGGGGGUGAAAGGCCAAUCAAACCGGGAGAUAGCUGGUUCUCCCCGAAAGCUAUUUAGGUAGCGCCUCGUGAAUUCAUCUCCGGGGGUAGAGCACUGUUUCGGCUAGGGGGCCAUCCCGGCUUACCAACCCGAUGCAAACUGCGAAUACCGGAGAAUGUUAUCACGGGAGACACACGGCGGGUGCUAACGUCCGUCGUGAAGAGGGAAACAACCCAGACCGCCAGCUAAGGUCCCAAAGUCAUGGUUAAGUGGGAAACGAUGUGGGAAGGCACAGACAGCCAGGAUGUUGGCUUAGAAGCAGCCAUCAUUUAAAGAAAGCGUAAUAGCUCACUGGUCGAGUCGGCCUGCGCGGAAGAUGUAACGGGGCUAAACCAUGCACCGAAGCUGCGGCAGCGACGUUUAUGCGUUGUUGGGUAGGGGAGCGUUCUGUAAGCCUGCGAAGGUGGCCUGUGAGGGUUGCUGGAGGUAUCAGAAGUGCGAAUGCUGACAUAAGUAACGAUAAAGCGGGUGAAAAGCCCGCUCGCCGGAAGACCAAGGGUUCCUGUCCAACGUUAAUCGGGGCAGGGUGAGUCGACCCCUAAGGCGAGGCCGAAAGGCGUAGUCGAUGGGAAACGGGUUAAUAUUCCCGUACUUGGUGUUACUGCGAAGGGGGGACGGAGAAGGCUAUGUUGGCCGGGCGACGGUUGUCCCGGUUUAAGCGUGUAGGCUGGUUUUCCAGGCAAAUCCGGAAAAUCAAGGCUGAGGCGUGACGACGAGGCACUACGGUGCUGAAGCAACAAAUGCCCUGCUUCCAGGAAAAGCCUCUAAGCAUCAGGUAACAUCAAAUCGUACCCCAAACCGACACAGGUGGUCAGGUAGAGAAUACCAAGGCGCUUGAGAGAACUCGGGUGAAGGAACUAGGCAAAAUGGUGCCGUAACUUCGGGAGAAGGCACGCUGACACGUAGGUGAAGUGAUUUACUCAUGGAGCUGAAGUCAGUCGAAGAUACCAGCUGGCUGCAACUGUUUAUUAAAAACACAGCACUGUGCAAACACGAAAGUGGACGUAUACGGUGUGACGCCUGCCCGGUGCCGGAAGGUUAAUUGAUGGGGUCAGCGCAAGCGAAGCUCCUGAUCGAAGCCCCGGUAAACGGCGGCCGUAACUAUAACGGUCCUAAGGUAGCGAAAUUCCUUGUCGGGUAAGUUCCGACCUGCACGAAUGGCGUAAUGAUGGCCAGGCUGUCUCCACCCGAGACUCAGUGAAAUUGAACUCGCUGUGAAGAUGCAGUGUACCCGCGGCAAGACGGAAAGACCCCGUGAACCUUUACUAUAGCUUGACACUGAACAUUGAGCCUUGAUGUGUAGGAUAGGUGGGAGGCUUUGAAGCGUGGACGCCAGUCUGCGUGGAGCCGACCUUGAAAUACCACCCUUUAAUGUUUGAUGUUCUAACGUGGACCCGUAAUCCGGGUUGCGGACAGUGUCUGGUGGGUAGUUUGACUGGGGCGGUCUCCUCCUAAAGAGUAACGGAGGAGCACGAAGGUUGGCUAAUCCUGGUCGGACAUCAGGAGGUUAGUGCAAUGGCAUAAGCCAGCUUGACUGCGAGCGUGACGGCGCGAGCAGGUGCGAAAGCAGGUCAUAGUGAUCCGGUGGUUCUGAAUGGAAGGGCCAUCGCUCAACGGAUAAAAGGUACUCCGGGGAUAACAGGCUGAUACCGCCCAAGAGUUCAUAUCGACGGCGGUGUUUGGCACCUCGAUGUCGGCUCAUCACAUCCUGGGGCUGAAGUAGGUCCCAAGGGUAUGGCUGUUCGUCAUUUAAAGUGGUACGCGAGCUGGGUUUAGAACGUCGUGAGACAGUUCGGUCCCUAUCUGCCGUGGGCGCUGGAGAACUGAGGGGGGCUGCUCCUAGUACGAGAGGACCGGAGUGGACGCAUCACUGGUGUUCGGGUUGUCAUGCCAAUGGCACUGCCCGGUAGCUAAAUGCGGAAGAGAUAAGUGCUGAAAGCAUCUAAGCACGAAACUUGCCCCGAGAUGAGUUCUCCCUGAGACUUAAAGUCUCCUGAAGGAACGUUGAAGACGACGACGUUGAUAGGCCGGGUGUGUAAGCGCAGCGAUGCGUUGAGCUAACCGGUACUAAUGAACCGUGAGGCUUAACCUUACAACGCCGAAG